AACGAACGCUGGCGGCAUGCCUAACACAUGCAAGUCGAACGAGACCUUCGGGUCUAGUGGCGCACGGGUGCGUAACGCGUGGGAACCUGCCCUUAGGUUCGGAAUAACUCCCCGAAAGGGGUGCUAAUACCGGAUAAUGUCUUCGGACCAAAGAUUUAUCGCCUUUGGAUGGGCCCGCGUUGGAUUAGCUAGUUGGUAGGGUAAAAGCCUACCAAGGCGACGAUCCAUAGCUGGUCUGAGAGGAUGAUCAGCCACACUGGGACUGAGACACGGCCCAGACUCCUACGGGAGGUAGCAGUGGGGAAUAUUGGACAAUGGGCGAAAGCCUGAUCCAGCAAUGCCGCGUGAGUGAUGAAGGCCUUAGGGUUGUAAAGCUCUUUUAACCGGGAUGAUAAUGACAGUACCGGGAGAAUAAGCUCCGGCUAACUCCGUG
rnacentral:rRNA from 1 species